rnacentral:rRNA from 1 species
AUUGAACGCUGGCGGCAUGCCUUACACAUGCAAGUCGAACGCCAAAGCGAGGGGCAACUCUUGCGAGUAGCGUGGCGCACGGGUGAGUAACACAUCGGAACGUAUCCACGAGUGGGGGACAACCAGUCGAAAGAUUGGCUAAUACCGCAUACGCUGGGGACAGGAAAGCGGGGGACCGGGUCACACCGGCCUCGCGCUCGCGGGGCGGCCGAUGUCCGAUUAGCAGUUGGCGGGGUAAGAGCCCACCAAGGCUGCGAUCGGUAGCGGGUCUGAGAGGAUGAUCCGCCACACUGGGACUGAGACACGGCCCAGACUCCUACGGGAGGCAGCAGUGGGGAAUUUUGGACAAUGGGCGCAAGCCUGAUCCAGCCAUGCCGCGUGAGUGAAGAAGGCCUCGGUUGUAA